AUUGGUGCUCCCUAAGAAACGACUUUGAACUUUGGUCUGGCCAUUUGUUAUUUUUGGUCACUUCCAAAUAUUGGUCACUUUUUUGGAGGAGGAAUGAAAAAGGUCCUUGCCUCGUGUCUUCAUUUUUCAAAAGUCGUUUUUUAACUAAAUCAUCUCCAUCCAUUUAUAGUUGGAUGAUGAUUUGAAUAAUUUCUUUCACUGGAUUGUAAGAACGUGCCUUAAUGUUAUUUCUCUGAAUCCGAAUAUGUCUUGUGGUGAUUGGAACCUCAUGUACCCGCUAUAAGGGUCCACCGACGGGGUUGAUACAAUCCCGUUCCCACGUACCGGAGUGGUAAUUCCUGUCCCGUUUUUCCUAAAAGCUAUUUACCUACGCUUGCUGUCUUGUUCUGAAGGUUCAGUGAUUUCUCGUCAAACAAUUACAAUUGACCAGGAAGCGGGUGGCUUCUGUACGAGAAUCCUGUUCGGGCAGCGCCAGAAAUGUCGUUUGCAACACUUGUCACUUUUUAAAAAUAUUUUAUUUUCAAAAAUACAGUUAUUAGAAACUUUUUGGAUUUUGAAUAGUACUUAAAUGGAUUUUACUACAACAAAGGUUACAAUAAAGAUCUUACUAUACAAAAA